GUAAGCGUGCGUAGGCGGCCAAUUAAGUCAAAUGUGAAAUCCCCGAGCUUAACUUGGGAAUUGCAUUCGAUACUGGUUGGCUAGAGUAUGGGAGAGGAUGGUAGAAUUCCAGGUGUAGCGGUGAAAUGCGUAGAGAUCUGGAGGAAUACCGAUGGCGAAGGCAGCCAUCUGGCCUAAUACUGACGCUGAGGUACGAAAGCAUGGGGAGCAAACAGGAUUAGAUACCCUGGUAGUCCAUGCCGUAAACGAUGUCUACUAGCCGUUGGGGCCCUUGAGGCUUUAGUGGCGCAGCUAACGCGAUAAGUAGACCGCCUGGGGAGUACGGUCGCAAGACUAAAACUCAAAUGAAUUGACGGGGGCCCGCACAAGCGGUGGAGCAUGUGGUUUAAUUCGAUGCAACGCGAAGAACCUUACCUGGCCUUGACAUACAGAGAACUUUCCAGAGAUGGAUUGGUGCCUUCGGGAACUCUGAUACAGGUGCUGCAUGGCUGUCGUCAGCUCGUGUCGUGAGAUGUUGGGUUAAGUCCCGCAACGAGCGCAACCCUUUUCCUUAUUUGCCAGCACUUC
rnacentral:rRNA from 1 species